CACGUAGGUCGCAAGCGUUGUCCGGAAUUAUUGGGCGUAAAGAGCUCGUAGGCGGUCUGUUGCGUCCGCUGUGAAAACUCGGGGCUUAACCCCGAGCCUGCAGUGGAUACGGGCAGACUAGAGGUAGGUAGGGGAGAAUGGAAUUCCCGGUGUAGCGGUGAAAUGCGCAGAUAUCGGGAGGAACACCGGUGGCGAAGGCGGUUCUCUGGGCCUUACCUGACGCUGAGGAGCGAAAGCGUGGGGAGCGAAUGGG
rnacentral:rRNA from 1 species